UCAAGUCUUGCUGGGAUGUCUUCACUAGCCAACAGUCUCAGCAUUUAGCUCGGUCCAUUCAUAUAGCCACCCUAGACACAGGAGCUCUCGUAAUCCCCAUGUUACAGACUCAGAAAACGGACACUCAGAGACACCGAGACACAGGCUCAAGGUCACACAACUAAGCGGUGAACCUGGAAGGUGAGCUCAAGACUAUCUGAACCCCUAAGCCCGUGGGGGCUUCGCCUCACAUCCUGGCCUCAGACUGUGUUCCGUGACCCAGGGAAACUGCGCCCCGUUCUAAGUCACCAUGUUCCCCUCAUGACAUGGGAUGUUUCUUUUGUCCUCAGGAUGGUGCUGCGAGUUCUUCCGUGAACUGUGCCCACUAAAGGAGAAAUGAACUCACUGUGGCCUUAUGCAGCAGAGCUCUACGGCGGAGUUUCUUCUACGCCUUGGGAAGAAUGUUCCAUUAUGGCGUCACGGUUACCACGGCAUCUCUCAGCAAACAUUUAGACUUAAGAGAAACAGCAUGAAAUGUGUGUUCUUCCCCGGCCUUGACGAGGUUACUCUGGGAGAUGCCUUCUGGGUAUCGCUAAGAAGACUCUCCCUUUGCCAGAUGACAAGGUCCUUGGUUGUAGCCACAGGCUACCUCCUGCUCAGCUCCUGCCUCCACUGAUACAAGCUGCCUGACAGAGUGAGGUGUCUCCAGUCCCUCAUACUGCCAGGAUGGUUUCCUGGAGACUGAGCCCAGUUUUCUUCACCCAUGCUCUCAGUCAGCUUGUGGGUCCAAGCUAAACUACCGAACAGGUUCUAGGAAACCAUGUGGCCAGGCGGGAUCUCCUCUCCAUUUGCUGAGAGCAGCCUUGGUUUCAUAAAACUUCUAGACUUGAUGAGCGUUGGCAACGUCAUGAUAGAGAACACAGCAGCAGACAGAAGGAAUGAUUUCAUCCAAGUCUAGCCUGGUGAACCAGUGAUUUAUUGGAGGUCACUUACAGGAGUAUAAUUGAGGGGCUACUUGUAAAACCAUGAACUUUUAACAAAAAUGGUAGUUUUCUUUUUGAAAAGUCCAAUACUUUUGAAGGAAAUCUCAUUGAUUCCUCUUUGAUUAUGUUUAUGAAGCCAAGAGACUGCUUACCACCCCCAAAGAUGAAGUGUUUGGGAAAUCUGUUAUUUCCUUCACUCUCCAGGAUAUCCAAUAAAAGAAAAUGUUAAUUGA